CCUACGGGGGGCUGCAGUGGGGAAUAUUGCACAAUGGAGGAAACUCUGAUGCAGCGACGCCGCGUGGGGGAAGAAGGUCUUCGGAUUGUAAACCUCAGUAGUCAGGGAAGAAGCAAGUGACGGUACCUGAAGAGUAAGCUCCGGCUAACUACGUGCCAGCAGCCGCGGUAAUACGUAGGGAGCGAGCGUUGUCCGGAAUUACUGGGUGUAAAGGGUGCGUAGGCGGGUCAGCAAGUCAGGCGUGAAAUACCGGGGCUCAACUCCGGGGCUGCGCUUGAAACUGUUGGUCUUGAGUGAAGUAGAGGCAGGCGGAAUUCCUAGUGUAGCGGUGAAAUGCGUAGAUAUUAGGAGGAACACCAGUGGCGAAGGCGGCCUGCUGGGCUUUAACUGACGCUGAUGCACGAAAGCGUGGGGAGCAAACAGGAUUAGAUACCCCAGUAGUC
rnacentral:rRNA from 1 species